AGCGAACGCUGGCGGCAGGCUUAACACAUGCAAGUCGAGCGGGCAUCCUUGUGGUGUCAGCGGCAGACGGGUGAGUAACGCGUGGGAACGUGCCCUUCGGUUCGGAAUAACUCAGGGAAACUUGAGCUAAUACCGGAUACGUGCGAGAGCAGAAAGGUUUAUCUGCCGAAGGAUCGGCCCGCGUCUGAUUGGCUAGUUGGUGAGGUUACGGCUCACCAAGGCGCCGAUCAGUAGCUGGUCUGUGAGGAUGAUCAGCCACACUGGGACUGAGACACGGCCCAGACUCGUACGGGAGGCAGCAGUGGGGAAUAUUGGACAAUGGGGGCAACCCUGAUCCAGCCAUGCCGCGGGAGUGAUGACGGCCUUAGGGUUGUAAAGCUCUUUUCUCCGGGACGAUAAUGACGGUACCGGAGGAAUAAGCCCCGGCUAACUUCGUG
rnacentral:rRNA from 1 species